rnacentral:rRNA from 1 species
ACGGGGGGGGCAAGCGUUGUUCGGAAUUACUGGGCAUAAAGCGCGCGUAGGCGGCUUUGUAAGUUAGAGGUGAAAGCCCGGGGCUCAACCCCGGAACUGCCUUUAAGACUGCAUCGCUUGAAUCCAGGAGAGGUGAGUGGAAUUCCUAGUGUAGAGGUGAAAUUCGUAGAUAUUAGGAAGAACACCAGUGGCGAAGGCGGCUCACUGGUCCGGUACUGACGCUGAGGUGCGAAAGCGUGGGGAGCAAACAGGA